AGUGAACGCUGGCGGUAGGCCUAACACAUGCAAGUCGAACGGCAGCACAGUAAGAGCUUGCUCUUACGGGUGGCGAGUGGCGGACGGGUGAGGAAUACAUCGGCAUCUACUUUUUCGUGGGGGAUAACGUAGGGAAACUUACGCUAAUACCGCAUACGACCUACGGGUGAAAGCAGGGGAUCUUCGGACCUUGCGCGAUUGAAUGAGCCGAUGUCGGAUUAGCUAGUUGGCGGGGUAAGGGCCCACCAAGGCGACGAUCCGUAGCUGGUCUGAGAGGAUGAUCAGCCACACUGGAACUGAGACACGGUCCAGACUCCUACGGGAGGCAGCAGUGGGGAAUAUUGGACAAUGGGCGCAAGCCUGAUCCAGCCAUACCGCGUGGGUGAAGAAGGCCUUCGGGUUGUAAAGCCCUUUUGUUGGGAAAGAAAAGCAGCAGGUUAAUACCCCGCUGUUCUGACGGUACCCAAAGAAUAAGCACCGGCUAACUUCGUG
rnacentral:rRNA from 1 species